rnacentral:rRNA from 1 species
CCCUAUGGGGUGCAGCAGGCAUAAGCAUGCAAGGAGCAACGGAGAGACAGGGUGAUGAUAUAAUGCUUUUACUUGGGUUUGUUCCUGAUAGCCUAUACACGCUUGCAAGCAGUGGCUUAAAGUUGUUUCUAAUUAACGACAGCAGCUAUAAGAUUUUUUACACCUUAUCAUCAUGGAAUGAAGGAAAGCUAAAUCCAAUUAUUUCGGGAUUGCUUGAAGCCGAUACUAAAGAACAGGUUGCAUACCUUGUAAACGAUGAAGCUAGAAGCGCGAAAACGUUGAACUUGCAGGCUAUUUACCACAAAGGAAUGCCAUUUAAAGCCUAUCAGCCAGAAUUCUACGAUGUUGAGAUAGUUUCGCUCAAGCUUCAACUUGCAGCCAGCUACGUGGAAAAUGAUUAUUUCGAUGAUAAAGC